GAUGAACGCUGGCGGCGUGCUUAACACAUGCAAGUCGAGCGAACAGACCCUGCUUUUGUGGGGUGCUCGAGAGGCGAGCGGGUGAGUAACACGUGAGUAACAUGUCCUUGACAUUGGGGUAACUUCAGGGGACUCGGGCUAAUACAGGAUAGGAGCUCCUGCUGCACGGUGGGGGAUGGAAAGAUUCGGCGGUUGGGGCUGGACUAGCAGCUUAUCAGCUUGUUGGUGGGGUAGUGGCUUACCAAGGCUUUGACGGGUAGCCGGCCUGAGCGGGUGACCGGCCACAUUGCGACUGAGAUACGGCCCAGACUCCUACGGUAGGCAGCAGUGGGGAAUAUUGCACAAUGGGCGCAAGCCUGAUGCAGCAACGCUGCGUGCGGGAAGACGGCCUUCUGGUUGUAAACCAAUUUCGCCGGUGACGAAGCGUGAGUGACGGUAACGGGUAAAGAAGCACCGGCUAACUACGUG
rnacentral:rRNA from 1 species